GGACUUCCCAGCUCCGACGGGUCCAUACAGGAGGACUCGAAGGUACCGGAUGUCAUUGUUUUCAGGCUUGUAUUCCUGCACAUACUGAAGAUUCAUCUGUUUUUCUCUGAGAACGUAAAGUACAUCAGUUGGUUGUUUUACCUGUACCUUUGGAUAACUCUUGUUGAUGCCUGAUUUCGCUCUCAGCAUUGUCUUGCGGUUUUGGAUUUUCGACUUCUGGAAAAAGGUCUCCUAUUUUGUGGGUUAAGAUCCAAGAUUCCUGUUUACUUUGUCUGGACAACAACCAGCUGGCAGCUUCCUGUUUCACCGUCAUCUGAACCUUGGCAUAAGCGUAACCUGUUCACCCUCCAACGCAAGUACCUCCAUUCUGAACUCCUCAUUAUCCCUCACAGAUCUCUCAAACCUUACCAGAGAAACGUCUGUGCCGAACACUCAGACUCCAAAUUCCUCAACCCCCCCUGGCGGUUAGAUUACUCCAACAUACCUUCCAAUCAGCAUCCUGUCCAUCUGAUUCUCCAUCCAAUCACCUUCCGAC